AAGGUAUCUCCAACCUAAGAAUAAAUACAAACUCCACCCUCAAAUCCGCGGCGCGCUUGUCAGUCACCCCUGUAAGAGAUUCGUGCAAGCUGGUUUCCUUUCGUACCGCAAGUGCUUUUUCUGUGCUAAUGUGAAUAUCGGGGAUAUCGAAAAUUGAAGAUUCGUAGUUUCCAUAGGCACGCGCAGGAAGGGGGCGGGGGGGGGGGCGACCGCCUUCCCUAAUCAUCUAAAGGGGGGCGCCAAUUCUGCCACAUACCUUCACUCAGUCGGACCUUUCACGUUAUGUUUUAAUGCGCAGGCUUAUGGCUACACAUGUAUUUGACGCUAAUGGUGACCAAGGACCUCUAAUGUUGCAUUCCAAGAGCUGCUUGUUUCCCAUUUUUACCCUGGAAAGCCGGGGAGCAACGACAGGCCUUUGUGAGAAGCAUCGCUUCAUUUUUUUUUUCAUUUUUGCACCCAUUGCGGACCUCGUUUUCUUUCGGACUCUACCAACGGGGAGGGGCCACGUUGAAAAUUCGACCCCCUAACGGAGAACCCUGCGCGCGCCUAUGGUCCUUCCUACCUAAAACAUGACCUUUGGCUAAGCCGUGAUCUCAGAACCUCUGCUUAAGUUUGCCAGAACGCUCAAGUUUUCGACUUAGAACCAGCGACGCGAACAUGUGUCUGUAUGGGAAUACCGAGUACGUGAAACACGCGAGAAGUGGUCCACCUCACGGAAGUGAGCAAAUGUGAUUGGAUGGUAUUGUCUAUGCAUGAUCUCUGUGGGUGGGACAGUGAUGACAGUUGGUGGAGCUUAUAUUUAUUCUUAGGCUGUAACCGACUAUAGAAACUUUCCUAUCACCUUGCGAGGGCAGACGACGAAUACCGUUUUGUACGAACAUGCGCUCUAGGGAAUGUAGUUCCAAGGAAGCGAGCUUAUUUUAUUUAUUUUUCAACUGUGUAACGUAAGCCGAUCCACGUUGAUGAAUGAAACAUUUGCGCUGAUUUUCCAAGACGAAAUUUCACUCAGUAAUGCGUUCGGGAAACUUGGGGUCGUUCCCGAGUAUAGCCUUUAGAAAAAGGACGCGCGGCUAUUAGCGAAGGAAAUCGAGAACGGCCUUCCGCUUCCGUGUUAUUCAAGGUAUGCGGCACUUCUCCUAGAAGAACGAGAAAAAUCAACAUCUCAAUUUCUCCAUCGUAUUCAAUUCGGCGAUGUACGGUCGCUGAGAAAAACACGUGCGUGUGACCUCCUUUUGUCGAAGCAGUUUUCUUUUUGUGCUGACUUUUUUUGUUCCAAUUUUAGCUAGUCUUCUAUAUCAUUCGGACCUCGGAGCUGGCUUCCGAGGAGAUGGAGCGAUCAGUGCUGCAGGCCUGACGCUCUCAGUUACACGUCUCUUUUUUUGUACUUGCUCAAUAAACGAACGUGGCCAGGCUACGGCUUAAACUCUGA
rnacentral:lncRNA from 1 species